GGACUAGUGGCCUAGGACGCAACCUUCUCAAGGUUGAGAUCAUGGGUUCGACUCCCAUACGCG
rnacentral:tRNA from 1 species